CAACCCUUAAGCCUCAGUUGCUUAGCGUUGGGACUCUACGACCUAUUAUAGCGUAGUUCCUUAAAGGUAGUGGCGGAGUUAUAGCACACUCUAAGCGUAGUAAUUCUCUCUCGCUUCUUGUAGUGGCUAUAAUUGCUAGCCAUAAAACACCCCCUAUUUUAAU
rnacentral:misc_RNA from 1 species